rnacentral:rRNA from 1 species
GGCGAAGGCGGCCUUCUGGACAAUACUGACGCUGAGAUGCGAAGCGUGGGGAGCAAACAGGAUUAGAUACCUGGUAGUCACGCUGUAAACGAUGUCGAUUUGGAGUUUGGGGGCAUGACCUUUGGGCUCCGGAGCUAACGCGUUAAAUCGACCGCCUGGGGAGUACGGCCGCAAGGUUAAAACUCAAAUGAAUUGACGGGGGCCCGCACAAGCGGUGGAGCAUGUGGUUUAAUUCGAUGCAACGCGAAGAACCUUACCUGGUCUUGACAUCCAUAGAAUCUUUCAGAGAUGAGAGAGUGCCUUCGGGAGCUAUGAGACAGGUGCUGCAUGGCUGUCGUCAGCUCGUGUUGUGAAAUGUUGGGUUAAGUCCCGCAACGAGCGCAACCCCUAUCCUUUGUUGCCAGCACGUAAUGGUGGGAGCUCAAAGGAGACUGCCGUUGAUAAAGCGGAGGAAGGUGGGGACGACGUCAAGUCAUCAUGGCCCUUACGACCAGGGCUACACACGUGCUACAAUGGCGUGUACAAAGGGAUGCGAAGGUGCGAACUGGAGCGGACCUCACAAAGUACGUCUAAGUCCGGAUUGGAGUCUGCAACUCGACUCCAUGAAGUCGGAAUCGCUAGUAAUCGUGAAUCAGAAUGUCACGGUGAAUACGUUCCCGGGCCUUGUACACACCGCCCGUCACACCAUGGGAGUGGGUUGCACCAGAAGUCGAUAGCUUAACCUUCGGAGGGCGUUUACCACGGUGUGGUUCAUGACUGGGGUGAAGUCGUAACAAGGUAACCA